rnacentral:sRNA from 1 species
AUAAGAACGAUAAGGGCGACCGCAAGGUCGCCCAUUUUGUUUCUCGACUUAACAUCUUUUGGUUUGGCCGCCGAUCAGUUAAGAAGAGAGCAUCUCUGGCGUUACGCAUAGCUGGCUGUUAGCUAGAUUCCUUACUAUUUUACUACUAACAGUUUUUGUAACCAUAAACCCGGCAUUGUCCCGGGUUUUUUUAU